CAAAAAUUUGAAAAACCAGGAAAUAUAACCGGGCGCGGAACCGGUGGAUAGUUGAAUUCAGUGAUCGCAAUCGACUGAAUUUGCACUUGGCGUUGGGAGUAAUGAAACAGGAAGAUGAGAUAUUGAAGGCGCGCAAUGAUAAAAGAGAGUAUCGAAGGAUUGUUCUGCAAAACAAUUGCGAUGCGGAAACUGACAAGCUCCGUAAUUUAUGGUUGAGAGUUUUGGUUUGUAUUUUAGGUUUCGCGGAAAUCUGAAAUUGAUUAGGCUAUUUCUCAAUUUUGUUGUUUGGCUUGGAUUUUCCUUCUUUAUUUGAAAUGUGCUGCUUCGAUGGAUGCUCGUGUUGAUUCUGUUCAGCAUUUUAUCUUGCAGUUUCUCGAUUAAUCCCCUUUGAUGCUUUCUUAUUGCCUCUGUUCCCCCUUAUCCAUGUUAUCUCAGAGAACCAGAAAAAGUUUGCUAUCUGAUGUCUGGCGGAUGAAUCAGCUUCGGAAACAUUUAACUGUGAAAGACCACCCACACCACAAGUACAGUACAGGAAAUUGGGAUACUUUGGACGUCUGGCCAAAAGAAAGAGGAUUGGAUACUAGAAAAGAGCUUCUGUAGUUCUAUAAGGAAUAUUAUUCAGCCAAGCUCAUGCAUCUUGUGAUAUAUGCAAAGGGUAGUAGAUUGAUAACUGACUGUCACCUGGUUACUAUGGUCUUGGCAUGCUAAAUAUAUAUGAACUUAUGUAGUUGGAUUGGUUUAGAUGGCUUCGAUAAAUGUGAAAGCCAUGUCCAGAGCUAUUUUGAGGAUAUCUGAAACACAAAUAGAAGCUUUAUCAGUUUCCCUGGCCAGCUUUGUGAUUCAGAAAGCCUUCAGGUACUGUUGGAGCAUCUUUAUCAGUAACUUUAACCUACCGAGUGGCAAUAUUUAUUUUUUUCUUUAUAUGAUGAUUAACUGUGAGUAUGAACCUCUGUGGGAAGAUUAUUUGGAAUGUUUCAAUGUUUUGCUCCUUUUAAAACUACAAAUUCUGAGUGAGAUCCACAAUUUAUUUCCUUUAUUUUUUGUUGAUAAUAAAGGCCUCACUUGUUGUCAUUACCAUCAAAUUACUACAACAGUUCCAUAUUUCAGCUCCUCUUGGGCAUCUGUCUUGGUUACUGUUGCAGUAUAGAAUCAUGAAAUGACAUCAACGAGUCAUUUGUCAAUUAUUAGUGCACCAUUUUAAAACUUUUAGCCCAUUGAGAUGACAGAGCUUGAAAUGUUACUGUGCCACCUUUGCAUGGUUAUGUAUUAAAGAGUAGUGUCAUAAUCAUUUCCCCUGAAAUUCUUUUGUUGAAAUGUAAUGUUUAAUUGCUAAAACUAAGUUUGGUUAAAUGUGCAAUGUCUCUACUUUGUAAGAAAAUAGAUUAUAUCUUCACUGUCUAGUGUCUAUUUCUCAAAUUCUUGUAAAAGCAGUUUUAAUCAAGGAAGGUCACAUGUUGAAAUUUGUAUGGCCAAUAACACCGGGAAUUCGUCAUUACAAUGAAGGACCAAGAAGUUAUCGGAGUCACUUGAUUGGUCAUGAAGGAGAAGGAUCUUUCUUUUACAUCUUGUAAAACUGGGUGUUGUUGAGCUUCCUUUCCAUGCAUGUCCCCACUCCCCCUCACUGACUUGCUGGUAGGAAAAAAUGUCAUUAGACUUUUGUUCUGUGCUUACCCCCUCCAUCUCAGCCCCAACCAUAUCAAAAUAAUUUUUUAAUGAUAAACUGGCACUCUUAUCAGUUAAGUUUUCUGGCUUGUGGUGCAGUUUGAAUCUUAUCGAUUUUGUAUUGAGCUAUACAUAUUAGGUGUUGGGAUUAUUUCUGCAGAACUCAUCUGUCAUAUAUCUCAUGAAUCUCAUGAUUUACAGAUUUAGUCAUUCCAUGUAUUGCUCUAUGGAUUUUUAUGCACUAGUAGGAUUUUGAUCUACUAAGUAAGAAACAAAAUUGUACUACAUUCUAAGAGACAACGUAGUUACAUAAAGUGGAAAUCUGUAACCAAAAAUGCAUAAUCAAACUCUAUAUUGAUUAGUUCAUUCAAAUAAAUUACUUCUACAACGCAGAAGGCCUAAAUCCUAGUGAUGAGAAUUCUGCACUUGUCCACUACAUUCAGGUAUUGAGAAAAAUUCUUGGAAUCCUGCCAGCCAAUAUCUCAAGUCUUUCACAGGGAUAUGCUUAUGUCGUUUCUUUAUUCAUUUUUCAUUAAAUAAUGAGUUAAUAGCCAAGAAACGAACCCCUGGAAACAAGCCAGAUGUUCUUUUAAGUUAAAUGUCAGCUGUAGAGGCACGGUGUUUGAACAUUACUACUUUUGUAACAUGUAGGUGCACCAGGACGAUUUCAGGCUAAAUGUGACACUUGAACUUUUUGCUGUGAUAGCAAAGCAACCUGCAUUUCACCAGCUUAGAUCAGUUGGUUAUAUUACUAGCUUAUGCAGAUGUAGGAAAAAAACUCCUGCAUUCUAUGUUCUUCCAUUGUAUUGUGUGAAUUUUGUAUCAUAACAAGCGCUCACAUUUUCCUGACUGUAGCAAUGACUCUGGUAUCCGAGGUGUACUUUUCAUUAUACAAUCAACUGUCAAGUUGUGAUGGUGGAACUGCGGCUGCUGUUGCUCAUCAAUAGUGGCGGAUCGCGGAGGAAGUGCUGCUGGUGUUGGCUGUUGAAGUCGGCAUCAGAGAGAGGGUGCUGGUCCAUCCGAGUGGUUUGAAGGUAGUGAGAAUGAAACCUGCUGCUAUUUUCACUCCAAUAUCCAACAUUGGGAAAGACUAAAAAAUUUGGCUUCUUACCUACAUGAGUGUGUGUAUAUGUAUAGAUAGAACUGGUUUAUUUGGCCUAAUGUAGUGAUUGGACAUUGACUUUGUGAAAUAGUAUGAUUUUUGUUAUGGAA